rnacentral:misc_RNA from 1 species
GGUGUUCAUAUGAUCCCCAAUUAAACACGCAUUGAAAAGGUGAAAAGCAGAAGACAAAGGCAUGUUGGUUCCUUCUCAACGUGCAUGAUUCGGUCUUGGAGGUGUUGUUAUAGUGGAACCCAUCAUGCUCAUUUGGUUCAUAACACCCUUGGCAUGGUCUCUUGAAUGCCCUGUGGAUGCAGUCCCCAAUUCAAAGUGGCAACUGGCAAUCAAACCCAACCUGUUGCCAUUCAUGGCCCUGAAAUGAGCUUUCGAUCAGUUUGGAAAGUAGUGGUUGGAUAGGACAAAGAGGAAAGCACUACUUUCAGCU